rnacentral:tRNA from 1 species
AAGGUUUUAAGUUAAGUUAAACUAUCAGCCUUCAAAGCUAACAAUAAAGAAGAGUCUUUAAGCCUUA